UAAAUGUGGUUUUUAAAGAAACUCUUACUGC
rnacentral:piRNA from 1 species